rnacentral:rRNA from 1 species
UGGGGAAUCUUCCGCAAUGGACGAAAGUCUGACGGAGCAACGCCGCGUGAGUGAUGACGGUCUUCGGAUUGUAAAGCUCUGUUAAUCGGGACGAAUGGUUUGUGUGCAAAUAGUGCAUAGACAUGACGGUACCGGAAUAGAAAGCCACGGCUAACUACGUGCCAGCAGCCGCGGUAAUACGUAGGUGGCAAGCGUUGUCCGGAUUUAUUGGGCGUAAAGCGAGCGCAGGCGGUCAAUUAAGUCUGAUGUGAAAGCCCCCGGCUCAACCGGGGAGGGUCAUUGGAAACUGGAAAACUUGAGUGCAGAAGAGGAAAGUGGAAUUCCAUGUGUAGCGGUGAAAUGCGUAGAUAUAUGGAGGAACACCAGUGGCGAAGGCGACUCUCUGGUCUGUAACUGACGCUGAGGCUCGAAAGCGUGGGUAGCAAACAGG